CCCUUAGAUGUUCUGGGCGGCCCGCGCACUACAAUGGCGUGUGCAGCGAGUGCCGAAGUAGAGUUUUCCGAGGUAUUCUUGUAAUGCUCGUUUUGAUGGGGAUAGACCCUUGCAACUGUUGGUUUUGAACGAGGAAUUCCUUGUAAGCAUGGUUUAUCAUCCGACGCUGAAUGCGUCCCUGCCCUUUGUACACACCGCCCGUCGCUCCUACCGAUGAGUCGUCCGGUGAAGUUCGUAGACCUCGUGAUCGCGGAUCACUGGGGGAAGCAAAAUGAACCUCGCGGUUUAGAGGAAGGAGAAGUCGUAACA
rnacentral:rRNA from 1 species